AGGUAAUAUUUAUUUAAAAACCUUUAUCUUUUGGCAGCUUGAUUCCUUUCCAGAGGAACUUGUGAAUUAAUCGAUAAUACGCGUUUAUUUUCUCUUACUUUAAGUUUCUAUACCGCCGUCUUAAGAAUAAAUUUUCAAUUUAUCUUCUUAUCAGAAUUAUCUUUUAAGUCAGGUCAAGGUUGAGCAUAUAACUAAGAUUUCAUGAGUUAUUAAUUAAAUUUAUUAAUGGAUUUCUUUCCAAAGCAAGAAUGAAUCAGAAUCUGAAAGUAUAUUUUUAUUAAAACUUCGUAUCGAACUAGUUAAAUUAAGUGU
rnacentral:rRNA from 1 species